UACGUAGGGGGCUAGCGUUGUCCGGAAUCAUUGGGCGUAAAGCGCGCGUAGGCGGCCAGAUAAGUCCGGUGUGAAAGUCACAGGCUCAACCUGUGAAUGCCGCUGGAAACUGUCUGGCUUGAGUCCGGAAGGGGCGAGUGGAAUUCCUGGUGUAGCGGUGAAAUGCGUAGAGAUCAGGAAGAACACCGGUGGCGAAAGCGCUCUGCUGGACCUUAACUGACACUGAGGGACGAAAGCUAGGGGAGCGAACAGG
rnacentral:rRNA from 1 species